rnacentral:rRNA from 1 species
UUGGAUUAAUACCCCAUAACAAUAUUUGGUGGCAUCAUCAGAUAUUUAAAGAUUUAUCACUUAGAGAUGGGCGUGCGUCUGAUUAGGUAGUUGGUGAGGUAACGGCUCACCAAGCCGACGAUCAGUAACUGGCGUGAGAGCGCGACCAGUCACACGGGCACUGAGACACGGGCCCGACUCCUACGGGAGGCAGCAGUAAGGAAUAUUGGUCAAUGGACGGAAGUCUGAACCAGCCAUGCCGCGUGGAGGAUGACGGCCCUCUGGGUUGUAAACUUCUUUUAUCUGGGACGAAACACUUCUUAUCUAAGGAGCUUGACGGUACCAGGUGAAUAAGCACCGGCUAACUCCGUGCCAGCAGCCGCGGUAAUACGGAGGGUGCAAGCGUUAUCCGGAUUCACUGGGUUUAAAGGGUGCGUAGGUGGAUAUGUAAGUCCGUGGUGAAAUCUCUAAGCUUAACUUAGAAACUGCCCUGGAUACUAUAUGUCUUGAAUGUUGUGGAGGUUAGCGGAAUAUGUCAUGUAGCGGUGAAAUGCAUAGAUAUGACAUAGAACACCAAAUUGCGAAGGCAGCUGGCUACCCAACGAUUGACACUGAGGCACGAUAAGCGUGGGGAUCUAACAGGAUCAGAUACCCUGGUAGUCCACGCCCUAAACGAUGAUUACUCGACAUACGCGAUA